rnacentral:lncRNA from 12 species
GGGUGAUAUUAAAAAAAAUCCGCCUAAACCAGUGAAAUUGUCUCAAUCACCUCAGCCUUUCUGGGAAGAUGCAUUGCUCAGGCUGCAAAUGAUGUAAGAAAGGCUUCAGGUAAGGACAGAGGGUGUCAGAUUUAGGGGUACUGAACCCCUUUCGAGGGGACCACAAGAGUCUGAAGGAAAGCAGUAAGUGAGAGAAACGUCCAGAGGACAUCCCUGUAGGAGAGGGAUAACGAGGAACUCUGGGGAACCCUUGUUUCAUUCUCUGGUUUUCAGAGGCUAUGAUAAGACGUGGCCAAGGUUUGUCCUCACCCCGCCUGUCCCUCGGUAAUGGGCUUGUAAUGACCUAAACGAUUUGCUGAUUAGGGACAAUAAAUCUGCCUUUCCGUGCGGGAUGUCCCUCGCCGCGGGGCGGGGGGAGGCGGCGGGGACAGCCGGGGCCGGGACACUUUCCCGUCCCCUUCAGGAAGAUGACAGUGUUUGUUCAUUUAGCCUGUCGGCAGUUUGGCUGCAGAGCUGAAGUUAUUUAUCCCAGCAUCUGCCCCCCACCUUUCCAGAGGGGCGAUUCCGGGGCUCGGGCGGAGAGGAAGGAGCGACUGCGGGGCUGGGUCCUGGUUCCUGUGAACGGGUGUGGGGGAAGGCGGGCGGCGGCUUUGCUCGGCUCGCUCCUCUGGGGACAGGUGAAGAAGAAAAAGGCCUGCUCAGCCACAGGAGGGAUCCAGGUGCUGGUGCCAUCUCUAAACCCUGAGCCGUGGGGAGCCAGGCUUCACCUCCAGCCCCGGGCUCUGCACACUGAGAUGUCUCCUGGGGACCCAGCAGUGGCAAGUCAGACUCAGUGCACAAACAGGGUCUGGAACAAAUGGUUGGCUGUCCAUGACCUGCUUGGAGGAAAAGGCAGCAGCAGGAUAAGGUUGUGACAUGGAUUGGCUGUGCCACAGUUGGCCCAGGCACAGCCAGAGAACUCAGCCAGCAUUGCCCAUCCUUCAGUCCACAGCCUAUGUUUGUGAGCUAAUGGCUCCUUAUAGGAUCCUUCUGGUUGAGAGAUGAUAUCACUGAUUAUAUCUGUGUCCACUUUAGGUCUGGACGGUUGCUAAGAGAAAAACAAUUCUUGGCAAAUUCCUGGAAGUGCUUGCCUCCUCCAGUUUGGAUGAAGACCGCUCAACACAGAUGGGUAGGUGUGAGCUUCUGUCUCUUCGCCUUCUGAGAAUUGUUUUCGCCAGUGGAAAACUGAAGAUGAUAAUGCUCCCAUUAAAAAUGAGGUGAAUGCUCAGGCUAACAUGAGUGGGUGGAAAGGACUUCAAACAGGAUGAAUCUGGGGACAAACCUACCCUUGCCAAGACAAACAGCUGCAGAGAGCUGCAGGAAAGGAAAAGGGCACUGCUGUUCAGAAUGAUUCAGUCACACAGGGCUGAUUGAGGCUGUGUAUCCAUCAAUUUAUAACGAAAAUCAGUGGCUGUCAUAUGAAGAAAGAAAAGGAACAUCAUCUGUCACACAGGAGGACUGGAGAACUGAUAUCAUCAGGACAACAAGCUGAUAUUCCAUAGGACAGUAGAGAUGUGGGAUGAGUGCAAAGCAGAAAGCUCUCACUCUCCUUCCUACAUCUGUCUUUGAUUUUCUCUGCCUCUAUCUGCCUGUUGUUGAUGUUUUCUCACAUUAUCUUGGUCCCUCUGUUCAAGCUGCAUUUCAUUCCAAGGAGGCAGGGAGCUCCAGGUGUGAACGAGGGCUGUGAGCAUGAACUCCCUGUCGCUGCUAUUAUUGUUACCAUUCCUCUGAAACCAGCCUGGUGGAGGUUUGGCUCUGUGGAAUUUGUUCUGCUGUUUUAACCGUAUCCUUGUUAAAUGUGGAAAAUGGAAUGCAAGUGGAAUGACAAUGUGGAAAGUGGAAUGAAGUGCAGUGCUUUGCAUGAUGGCUUGCACCCAAAGGUGCAGCCUUAGCUAAUGAAGUGCUGGCAUGCUGUGGAGCAAGAUGUUUGAGAUUGCAGGAUUGGGAUCUGCUGCUCAGAUGAAUCAGGUGUUCAGGACUCGCUGAUCUUCUUUGUAAUGGGAGAAACUGUAUAUUAAAAAAGUCAAUACAGAAUUUUCAAUGCUCUGUAUAGUUUCAGUGUUUUUCAUUUUAAGACCCCAGUGAUAUUCAGUAAUUGUAUUCCCACCAUCCAGCUAUUUAGCAAUCUGAACACAUACUAUUUCCCCCAUUACUGUUGUUUCCAUUACUGGCAGUACACUUGUGGAUGUCUGGUUAUUUUUGUCUUUGACACCCCCUGCAUACAUC